CUGUGAGCUUGGCCAGUCAGCCAGUUCUUAACCCACUUUAUUGUCCAUUCAUCUAUCCCACACUUUCUCAGCUUUGUUUGCAGGAUGUUGUGGGAGACAAUAUCAAAAGCCUUGCUGAAGUCAAGGUAGAUGACAUCCACUGCUCUCCCCCCAUCUACCCAGCUGGUGAUGCCAUCAUAGAAGGCAAUGAGGGACAGAGGUGAGACUGACUGGCCUGUAGUUUCCUGGAUCCUCCUUCUUGCUCUUUCUGAAGACCGGAGUGGCAUUGGCUAUCCUCCAGUCUUCAAGCACCUCUCCUGUUCUCCAAGACCUAUCAAAGAUGAUAGAGAGCAGUUUGGCAGUCACCUCUUCCAGCUCCCUCAGCACACGUGGAUGCAUCCCAUCAGGACCCAUGGAUUUGUGUGCGUUGAUCCCACUCAGACGCUCCCGAACCACUCUCUCGUCAACCAGGUGGGAGCCCUCCAUUUCCCAGCCCCUUUCUCCUCCCGCCAGGGUCGAGGAGUCGCGGGGGGGUCCUUGAAGCAAAGACUGAAGCAAAGAAAGCAUUCAGUAUCUCCGCCUUCUUGGCAUCUCCCGUUACCAGGACACUCCCCUCGUUCAGCAGGGGACCCACAUUAUCCCUAGUCUUCCUUUUACUGUUUACAUACUUAAAGAAACCCUUCUUAUUAUCCUUUAUCUCCUUUGCCAGCUUCAUCUCCAGGUGGGCUUUAGCCUUCCCUCAUCGCAAAUGGUAGGGCUGUGUUUCCACCCCUGGGGCAGCCGAUUCCAGGUGUACUGGAUGCCCCAAGGGAAAAAAAAACUGUGGCCCGCAGUCUGCUGUGAAAGGGAUGGAGAAAAAUGCAUUAGCGAUAUCAGUUGUCGCAUACCACUUGUCUGCCUUUGACUCCAGCUCAUAUUGAAGUUCUAGCAUGUCUGGCAAAGCAGCACUCAGCGGGGGCUUGACUUCGUUCAAGUCAUGAUACUCCACUGUUAGCCUCCACUCACUAUUAGACUUUCGCACUGGCCAUAUGGGACUAUUAAAGGGUGAGCGAAGUCUUGCUGAUCGCUCCCUGGCUCUCCAGUUGACCAAUUAGCUUAUGGAUGGGAUUCAGGGAGUCUCUGUUGGUGCGAUAUUGCUGCUGGUGCACCGUUGUGGUAGCGAUUGGCACCUGCUGUUCUUCAGCCCUCAGAAGUCCCACAGAUGAAGGGUCUUCUGAGAGGCCGGGCAAGGUAGAUAGCUGCUUAAUCUUCUCCAUACUUAAGGGAGCUAUGCCAAAAGCCCACCGGAACCCUUUUGGGUCCUUGAAAUAUCCUCUCCUGAGGUAGUCUAUGCCAAGGAUGCACAGAGCCUCCGGGCCAGUCACAAUGGGGUGCUUUUGCCAUUCAUUCCCAGUUAGACUCACUUCACCUUCCAAUACAGUUAGUUCUUGGGAUCCCCCUGUCACUCCAGAAAUACAGGGUUCUGCCCCUUGCUAGCCUGAUGGCAUAUGGGUACACUGCGCGCUGGUGUCCGCUAGAGCCUUGUACAGAUGCGGAUCCAAUGUGCCACGCCAUCGGAUCCCCACAGUCCAGUAUAUAUGGUUGUCCCUUUCCUCUGCCUGGCCAGAGGCAGGGCUCCUCUAGUCCUGGUUGGAGUAUCUAUCACUUAAUUCUUGCAAAUGCGAAGAAGAGGUCCCUCCGUCAGGGUCAGGAGUAACAUCAGCCCUUCUACUCAGUCGGGGGAACUGCCCAACAGAAACCAGAGCAGUAAUUUUCCUAGGAGACCCACUUUUGGCUGCUGUAUUUCCUUGCCAUUCACGUACCCGAGCUGCUAGGGUCGAGGUAGGUUUGCCAUCCCACUUCCUCAUGUCUUCCCCAUGUUCACGUGGAUAAAACCACAGGGUGCCACGUGGUGUCCGUCCCGGGUACUCUCUCCCUCAAGCAGGAAAAUGCUGACUCUUAAUGGCUGAUAUACUGCUCCAUCUGGGUGAGAGGGACUAUAUAUGUUCUUCAAGGUGGUGGACCUGUUGGGACGGUUUCUCCACAGCCGGGAUGCAGGCCCGUAGUGGGGCAGGGAGGUUCUCUUCAUAUUGCUGAAGCUGGCUGGACACAACAUCCACUGUUGGUCCCAUCCCAUCUCUCCAAGUAAUCGCUGCCAGCACACUGGUGUGUGAUGAUGGUGUGCUCUGUAUAAACUUCUGCGACAUGGGCCGCGUGUACUGGACUUCAUCAGGAUCUUUGGGUGUCUGGGCAUUGUCCAAAUCACUAUAAACCAUCUCCAGCAUGGCUAAUUCCCUCAGGUGCUGGAGACCUUUCUCCAUGGUGGUCCACUUGCCUAGUUGAUAUACAGUAUCUUCCUUGCAGGAAUACCUUUCCUUCACACUUGACAGGAGUCGCCUCCAGAGGCUGAGAACCUGUGCCUCUCUCCCAUUUUCUCUGUCAAUGACCCUUUCUCUAGAGAGGGAUCCCAGCUGCUUGGCUUCCUUGCCUUCUAGUUCCUGUCUACUGGCCCCAGUGUCCAAGCAUCAGAGCAUCCAGGUGAGAACGUGCUCACCUGGGUAGCAACUGAAAUCCCUUCAUAUAUCUUGCAACUCGCUCAGGGAUAGGGAUCGGGUGGUUUCUGAUUCCUUUAUGAUUUCCAUCUCUUCUUCCUGCUGUUUUUGUGAUGGCUCUGCUUUAGAGGUGCCUGCUUCUUCCACUUCUCCCUCCCAGAACUUCUUAGGAGGAGCUUCUUCCCUUACUAAAGGAGCUGACUUCCGCUUCCAUUGUUUUAUCUUGACUAUGGGGGUGACUGAUACCAUCGACGGCUGGCCCUCUGGUUUAGCCACCGUGUCUGUUAUCUGUUUGUUGGAUUCAGAGACCUCCUCCUCCCCUUGAGGGUGCUGGAUAGUGUUAACUACCCUUUGAUAGGCUCAGGCCAGGCCCCAGCAUAGUGCAGCAAGCUUUAGUUCUCCAGCAUUGCUAGGGUCAGGACAUAUGUCUUUCAAUGUAUUUAUUUUUUUCAUUUUUGGGGCAUUCCGCACUUGUUCAGGGGUGAGGUUCAAAACCAUCGGAGGAGACAACCAUGACAGGUACCUGUCCAUAUCCUCCCACACACCUUGCCACCCACCACCACACUGUCUCAGGGUGGAUUCUUGGGUGGUAUUCUUAACUAACUGUUUAAGCUUAGGGAAAAAAAGAAAAAAAAAACAUUCUGAAGACCUAGCAAUAGGAGUACGCUAGUUAGCCAUGGAUGUUCACAAUACUCAAAAGCUAUUGUAAUUGGCACAUAGAGAAAGAAGGCGGCGGUACCAUUCCUGAUAUCGUCCACAAACUGACUUCCAGAGAAGGAAAAAAAGAGACCGCAGUUGUUAAUAUUCUCCAAGAGAUAGUUCCCAGAGGACAGAGAUGAUAGCUAUGUAGGGCCCGAAUACCAAAUUAGGCUCAAGGCUGGUGCUUUACAGCACAGAGAACUGAAAAAACAAAACAAAACAAAACAAAACCAAAAAAAAACCCACCACAACUCUCAGAUCUGAUCUAUAGUAGAAAGGAGAACACGGCACGGAUCACAUGGAAAACUAUUAAGAGCAAAUCAGACAACAUUGUGACUAGCAACUGUUAACUAUGAUAGUUGUAAGUUCCCUCUAAAGUGCUCUGAUCAAAUAUAUUGUUAUCUCAACCCUCUGAGCCCCACGUUGGGCACCUGUGGUGGUUUUACCAUGCUAGGCAGCUGAACACCACAACCGCUCUCUCACUCCCCCUCCGUAGAUGAGGAAGAAGAAUUAAAGGAAAGAACAACUCAUGGGUUGAGAUAAGGAUGAUUUAAUUAGAGGAAAAAAGAAAUAAUUAUUAAGGAAAGAUUAUUAUUAAUUAAACAAUUUAAACAAUUUAACUAAACAAUUAACAAUUUAACUAAAGGGGGAAAAAAGGGAAAGGGGAAAAGGGAAAACUAAACAAAACAAGUAAAGGCUAUGUGGAAGUGCAGAGGAAAGAAAUUACUCUCUGCUUGCAACAAAUGAGCGAUGCUUGACCACGUCCUUGAAGCAGGGCCUCAACGCACGUAGCCGGUGUUCGGGAGGAGGACAGACGUUUUCACAACGAAAGCCCACCCCUCCCCUCUUCUUUCUUUUUCCACCUUUUGUUGCUGAGUGUGACAUCAUAUGGCAUGGAAUAUCCCUUUGGUUGGUUUAGGUCAGCUGCCCUGGUGAUGUUUCUUUUCUCACAUUUUGCCCACCCCCUAGGAGGGUUAGAGAGAGGCCUGAUGCUGUGCCAGCACUGCUCAGCAGCAGACACAACACUGGUGUGAUACCACUGCUGUUUUAGCUACAAGUGGAGAGCACAGCACUGUAUGGGCUGCUGCAGGGAAAGUUAACAUCCCAGCCAGACCCAGCACAGCGCCAAAAAGGACUGUGGUGGUUUUACCCUGCUGCACAGGUGAACUCCAUCACAACACAAAAAGAAUUUAUUUUUCAAAAGAAGAGGGGGAGAAGAAAGUAUGCUAGAAAGAAAAGAAAAAAAACCUCACAGGUUGAGAUAAGGAUAAUUUAAUUACAGGAAAAUAAAAAGAAAAUAAAACAAGCA
ensembl:lncRNA